rnacentral:rRNA from 1 species
CAGCAGCCGCGGGAACACCAGCAGCCCAAGUGGUGGUCGCGCUUAUUGGGCCUAAAGCGCUCGUAGCCUGGCCGGUAAGUUCCCCGUGAAAUCGGGUCGCCCAACGAUUCGGCUUGCGGGGAAUACUGUCGGUCUUGGGGCCGGGAGACGCCGAGGGUACUCCGGGGGUAGCGGUGAAAUGCUGUAAUCCUCGGGGGACUACCAGUGGCGAAGGCGCUCGGCGAUAACGGGCCUGACGGUGAGGGGCGAAAGCUGGGGGCGCGAACGGGAUUAGAUACCCCAGUAGUCCCUGUCUCUUAUA